CAAGAGCUUGGUCCUGACUCUGCUAUCAACUUUAGCUAAACUUACACAUGCAAGUAUCCGCGCCCCUGUGAGAAUGCCCUAUAGUCCUCCUCCCGAGAACAAGGAGCUGGCAUCAGGCACAUUAUUCAGCCCAAGACGCCUUGCUUAGCCACACCCCCAAGGGAACUCAGCAGUGAUAAACAUUAAGCCAUAAGUGCAAACUUGACUUAGUUAAAGCUAAGAGGGCCGGUAAAACUCGUGCCAGCCACCGCGGUUAUACGAGAGGCCCGAGUUGAUAGGUACCGGCGUAAAGGGUGGUUAAGUCAAAAUAAAACUAAAGCCAAACGUCUCCAAGGCUGUUAUACGCAUACGGAGAUAAGAAGAACAACCACGAAAGUGGCUUUAUUUAUCCUGAACCCACGAAAGCUAAGAUACAAACUGGGAUUAGAUACCCCACUAUG
rnacentral:rRNA from 1 species